CAAUAGCGUAUAUUAACGUUGUUGCAGUUAAAAAGCUCGUAGUUGGAUUUCUGUUGAGAGCAGCGCGUCUACCUUUUGGGUAAGUAUGUUGCUUGGUCUCGGCAUCUUCGUGGAAAACGUUUCUGCGCUUGAUUGCGUGGGGCGGGGUUCACGACUUUUACUUUGAGGAAAUUAGAGUGUUCACGGCAGGCAUACGCCUUGAAUAUAUUAGCAUGGAAUAAUAACAUAGGGCUUACGGCCUAUUUUGUUGGUUUCUAGGCUGCAGGCAAUGAUUAAUAGGGACAAUUGGGGGCAUUCGUAUUAACGCGUCAGAGGUGAAAUUCUUGGAUUGCGUUACGACGAACUACUGCGAAAGCAUUUGCCAAGGAUGUUUUCAUUGA
rnacentral:rRNA from 1 species